AUUGAACGCUGGCGGCAGGCCUAACACCUGCAAGUCGAACGAGUGGCGGACGGGUGAGUAAUGUCUGGGAAACUGCCUGAUGGAGGGGGAUAACUACUGGAAACGGUAGCUAAUACCGCAUACCAUCAGCUGUGCCCAGAUGGGAUUAGCUUGUAGGUGGGGUAAAGGCUCACCAAGGCGACGCUCCCUAGCUGGUCUGAGAGGAUGACCGGCCACACUGGAACUGAGACACGGUCCAGACUCCUACGGGAGGCAGCAGUGGGGAAUAUUGCGCAAUGGGCGAAAGCCUGAUGCAGCCAUGCCGCGUGUAUGAAGAAGGUUUUCGGGUUGUAAAGUACUUUCAGCAGGGAGGCGGUACCCGCAGAAGAAGCAACGGCUAACUACGUGCCAGCAGCCGCGGUAAUAC
rnacentral:rRNA from 1 species